UUCAUGAAAAUUUGACAUUUUAAUGGAAACUAAAAUUGUGAACACUGGAGUUUUCUUUUUUAUUGACUCUAUUACAUUGUUUGGAAUUUGAGGGUUAUUUAUCAUGCUUUAAAAAAAGAACAAACAUUGUAAUGUGACACUUGUGUUAAAUUCAGAAAAAAAAUUAAAUAAUCAGACUGCUCACUUAAAAACUUAAAAUGCCAACCUGUAAGACAUUUGAGAAAGAAAUGCUAUUGCCUCGUGUUUUAGGGGGGCAGGAGAUGGAGAAGUUGUAAGAGGAGGAGCAGACCAGAAAAAAAAGAAUAAUAGUAAUGCAUCAACAAGCACAACAGCCAUCUGAGAUGACACAGAGAAACAAAACAAAAAGAUGACUCGGCACAACAUAUCAUCUCUUAUCAUGACUGAAUCCUGUAAAGACACGUCGCCUUGUUGACUUUCCUCCUCGUGUGGAAGCAGAAACACUGUACCUCUCAGGUGUCACUGAAUAACAACAAAAAAUUUUUAAAAAGCGCCCCCUAAAUUAAAACAUUUCCACGAGAGGCAGUUUAAAGGAGGGACAGUUUUUAAGUCGAGCACAAACACCAAGUCCAGCAUUUCCCAUUGCAGAUGACUGAUUACUGGAUGAAGAAGCAGCACUUUCGGCAUUUGUUUAUCUUGUUACAAUUUCUCCUCACUCUAUUACGAUGCGCUCAAAGUGACAUUCAGCUGCUACAGUAGUGACUUCUCAUCUUCUUCAUCGCCCUCCCUGUCUGUGCCAUUCAGUAGCUGAAUAUCUGAGUAGUGUACCUUUGGCGAAAGCAGAUUCAGAGUUGUUGAACUGCACGUUAAUACCUCACUCCCCCUCACAACAUGAUCAACAACACGACAACGAAAUAAAAUAUAUAUUACGAGGAACUCUGGAUGCAGUGUAUUUCAAUGCUCAUCACUCCAUCACAACUAUCUGCAGAAAUGCAAUAAAGUAAGUUGUAUAAAAUCUGCUGGAAAAUAAAAAAGAAGAGUAACUUCAAAUAUAUUAACAUUGCUGCUAUUGGGGGGGGGGGGGGGGAAAUAGGUCUACAUCAGCCUUAAUCAAAAACUAAAACAUCUAAAGCUCAUCAAAAAUGAGACGUCUUGAUUUUCUUUAUCCUUUAUUUCCAUUUAGUCUCAUCCUACGUGUGCAUCUACGGAUAAAUUAGGUUAUAACUCAAAUUUUUUUUUUAAAAACAUAUGUUAAAAGAUUAAUUUGUUAAAUCAGUUUCAAAUGAAUUAUGUGCUACUUCAGACAUUAUCUUGACAAUGGACUGGCAUGAGUAUACACCAGCAAGCAGUUAUCCAUCAUCCAUCCCCAUUCAAACCGAUUUUGGCUUUUAGGUCACACAAUUUCCAAGCCAUUAAAAAUUCCAAAAAACCUACGAAACACAUAAAAUUGCUUUCAGCUGCAUCCAUGUUGCUUAAAAGGAGGAAAAUUAGGAUUAGCUGUAAGAAAACUUAAACAGCAUUGCAAAUGUUACAAAAAAAGAAGAAGAAGAAAGAAAAAAUGGCACGGAUAUAUGCUGGAAGCAGAUCUUAAACAAUCAAAAUUGCUGUAAAAGUUUUUUUUUUUUUUCCUUUUCCCACACAGGCACCUGAAAAUGAAACAACAGAAGGGGAGGGACAGGGAGGACUUUUCUUUUUUUUGAAAUAUAUGAGGAACUUGCAUAUAAUAGGAAGAACUUGCUAUGCACACACCCAACAAACAAACUUGCCACUCGCAACCUGGAAGCCUGCAUCAGCAUCCUUGAGGUGAUUGCACAUCCUGAGGGGGUGGAAAUAGAAACUCCACAUGAUCAGGCUUUUUAUUUUUAGUUUUUUUUCUCUGUUCUUUCUUUCUCAACAACACCAACAACAGUCAGUCGCCCCCACCCCUCAAUCACUUGAUUAACCAUCUACUCAGCUUCAAGAACCUGUUUUUUGGUUUGCAGGCUACAAUGCUAAAUAAUAGUUUUAUCUCAAAAAAAUGCAUAUUCAGCAUAGCCUCGGUGCUGUAUUAAGUGCUUGAAAAAGAGGAUUCUUGGGGUGGGAGGUUAGGUGAUUCGAUUUUCCUGUACCAGGACAGUUCUCUCCAAAAAAUAAAAAAAGCACAAGACAAAAAGAAAAAAAGUAUUCAUUGUAAGACUACAGUAACAUUACAUACUACUCAUUUUGAUCACCCUGUUUUACAUUUAGAAGCCUAGAGAUGCAUCGCUGUCCACUGUUAAUACUUUCAACAAUUUGGCAUAUGGUCACCUGAUUAUGUCGCUUUCUUUGCGGAUUAUGGGGGAAUCAGAGGAAAUUAGUUUUUCGUGUAGCUUUAUGCUAGAUUAAAUGUCACGUUCAACAACAUAAAAAUUCUAAUGGACAGUAUCUCCUCAAUGGAUUCCUCGUGGACCAGGUCUGACAGAACUGUUCUUAUUCAGAGGGCAGCGUCUCAUGAUUCGCCUCAUCCAUCACACGCCGUACAACAGAAGCCAAAACAAAAGCAUUUUAAAUACCAGAGAGCUGACUGUGAUUUGGACGCGGAAGUUAAAUGUCAAGAUGACUUGUACAAAAACAUGGCUGCAGUUGCGGCUUUCCCUCUCGGCAUGAGCUACGGUGCUGCCUAAUCAGGACACAGUGGAAAGAAGCAUACUUGAAAGCUCAUAUCCAGAUUACAGCGACCCCCGAAGAACGCACCGCUGAUGUUCAGUGUUAAUAAAUCAAGAGGUGCUUCGCUAUGAAGACAUGCAGGAGAAAAUGAACCGUCAAAAAGAUUGCAGGGAGAUUACGGUCUAGUAUACAAAGAAAACAGCGCAUGGAGCAAUGUGCUUGUUUUUGUUAAAGAAGGGAGGAAAAUAAACUUAUUUCAGAGCUCAAAAUGAUCAAUGACAGCACCUCACAUGCCAUGACAGUCUGCCUCGAAAGUAAUUAUUUGGUGUGUUGUCACAACAUCAUAUGAGACUCUGUAUUGUAGGACUCCAAUCCAACAUUUCCAAUGGGAGAACGUUACAUGACAGGGGCCAUUUGGCAAAAACAAUAUUCAACACAGUCAUGGCUUUAUCAACACUACCUGAGUUACAUUUAAUAAUUCUGUAUUUAGCAACUUUUUUUCUGAAAAGUAACAGCCCAGAGCCAUUCUUUCAAGGAGUAUUUCUUGUCAGUACAUAUAGAUUUUUCUAGUAAUUAUAAGAUAAAAGCAAUUAGUUUACAUAAAGUGCUAUUAAUCCACACAUUAACCAAAUCAUAGCUUCUAGAGAAAAGAAACCCAAACAGUUCCUUUGUUAUGUUGAUUAAACCAAUUUUGAUUUGGAGAUGGUGAUAAAAGUGAUGUCACAGCUGGCCAGUUAGCAGUUAGCAAAUUUGGGCUCCCUAGACUUAAGGAAAUCUUUCACCGUGAGCGUCUUUUUUUUUUCCCCUCACCAAAGAGAAAAACUAAAAUCAAUGUAGAAUUUGUGCAACAAACUGAACACGCACCUUAAACAUCCUGAACAAACUAAACUGAACUGCAGGCCACACCAGCAUCGUGGGUGAUGAUUUUGUAGCUCCACAUAACCCAUUUCACACGCAUGGAUCACACGGUGUUAUUGCACACUGGUUUGCAAACGUAAAAUGUUAUCCACAGUAAAACAUAAAACUCUAACGCAUCUUCACAUUUCGACACAGUUUGACAAAGUGGCUAGUUGGGGAGCCUAGAUUAGUAUUGCAAUGGUUGUGUUACUGUUAUCUUUACGUGGCGAUGAACCUCUGAUUCAUUCAUUUCCACUAGUAAACAUGCAAGAAAUACAGUGCCGUAAGGCAGUAAAGACCAAAUGCAAAAAAUAAAAUCAGAGUUGUAAAAUGCAACACAUGUUCCUUUGACAAGAGGAAUUGAACAGAAAUGUAGGCAAAAUAAUGUGUAGACAUCCUGAGUCUUGCUGCUGAACAAAGAGCACAAGACACAGAAGACCUCAAUGGAAGCAAUGUCUCUUGUUCUUUCUGAGCUUAUUCUGAAGUGCAGAAUUCUUAUAUUAGAAAGCGUAUGAACCUGAAUUGAGGAACAGUCAUGAAAUGUAUGAGAAGUUUCAAGAUAAAAAGGGUUUUGAAUUUAACGGAGACAUGACUUUAAAAUCAUUGACACGACUAAAACAAUGAAAUGAAGGGGCGUGGCUUUCCUUCAGACUGGGCACUUCUGUACCUGUGCUCUGCGGUUCAUACUACAAUGUAGAUAAUACUCAUGAUGUUAGGUCAUAUGAAACAGCAUAAAAGAAAAAGCGAACAUUUCAUUUCUGGGCUCUGAUUUUCCCUAAAGGAUUUAAGACAAGGUUCUCCCUUCCUGGAUGGGGCCUCACCUAUGAGCUUCCUCUUAACUUACAGUUUAACAGGACUCCAAAGAUGUUUCUUCCACAACUUGAAGGCAUUCUUUGCAAAGUGUCUUCUCCUUUCAUUCACAAUGAAUUCAAGCUUGCACACAGAUGUGUAUGUAUAACAUCUAACAUAUCUACAAUGAACUCAUCUGAACGUGUGAAGAAAGAAAAUGACUGAGGCAUCCCAUAGUCACGCUGACGGCUGCCGCAGUUCAACAGGAUAAAGGCUUAGGGAGGUGCAGUCCAAUACACCUUCCUUUGUUGAACUCCUGAACAUCAUCCCUAAAGAGCCGUGAGACAAACGACUAUCACGGCUCAAAGUUGCAAGAGUCCAUUCAUCAUGUUGGAGAGGCACCGAUCAACUCCUUUAACGUCCAUCCAGAACAUGUGUUCAUGUGUGCGUUUGUGUACGUUUGUGUUUUUCUGAUGCCCCGAAAGAAGUCUGUUACUCCACUCAAGAUUCCAAGGAAAAUCUGACAUGCUAAACUAUCAAAGUUUUCACAGUUGUCACUUUUAUCUAUCCAACAGGAUUUGUGAUUUCCAAGGUAGAUAACUGCAGCACCCAGAAGAGAAGAAGGUAAGUACUGUAGACGAUCUACCUCACUGAUCAGGUCCAUCCUUGGUCUCAUCAUAAAUCAC
ensembl:lncRNA